GAACAUUCGGCAGAAGGCUUGCUUUCUAUUGUCAUAAUAUGUUCAUGAAUAAUUUUCACUGCAGUUUAUUUUGUUUGUUUGGAAGGUGAAGGACCUCCUGCUGUUGCAGCUGUUGUAUGAAUUGUAGCACUUAAAUCCUGUUUCUUGAACGAAGAGAGCAGAUCUACAAUGAGUGGAAUGAGUCAAAUAUAGUGGGACUGAUGUGGUACUAAAGAAAAGAACUCUGCGCUAGAUACUAGCCAAAGAACUUUCAGAAGGCAUAAGCCAAGUGUUCUGAGAACUUCUCUUGCCUAAAAUGUUUGUAUCUUGGGCUAAGCAAGUCACCAAAGAUCCUGACUAAUAGACAAGAUGAGGACACGUCUCCUUUUCCAGCUUCCAGAAUAAGGAACAUUACUCCACAAUGGUUUUGGUCAUAUAAAAGCAGGAUACCCAUAAUGAAGCUACAUAAUAAGGAAGAUGAAAUGAAUUAACAAGAAAAACCUGCCUUAUGUAAUGAAACAGUUGAGCCAAACUCACAAAGCAAGAAAAGGUUGGAUUAGAAUGGUCUCUUAAGAAACAACUCUUCAUAGAUUUAUUUU